UGAUGGAGCAACGCCCGCGUUUGUGAUGAAGGGUUUCGGCUCGUAAAGCACUGUUGUAAGAGAAGAAUGACAUUGAGAGUAACUGUUCAGUGUGUGACGGUAUCUUACCAGAAAGGGACGGCUAAAUACGUGCCAGCAGCCGCGGUAAUACGUAUGUCCCAAGCGUUAUCCGGAUUUAUUGGGCGUAAAGCGAGCGCAGACGGUUAUUUAAGUCUGAAGUGAAAGCCCUCAGCUCAACUGAGGAAUUGCUUUGGAAACUGGAUGACUUGAGUGCAGUAGAGGAAAGUGGAACUCCAUGUGUAGCGGUGGAAUGCGUAGAUAUAUGGAAGAACACCAGUGGCGAAGGCGGCUUUCUGGACUGUAACUGACGUUGAGGCUCGAAAGUGUGGGUAGCAAACAGGAUUAGAUACCCUGGUAGUCCACACCGUAAACGAUGAGUGCUAGGUGUUUGGGGGUUUCCGCCCCUAAGUGCCGCAGCUAACGCAUUAAGCACUCCGCCUGGGGAGUACGACCGCAAGGUUGAAACUCAAAGGAAUUGACGGGGACCCGCACAAGCGGUGGAGCAUGUGGUUUAAUUCGAAGCAACGCGAAGAACCUUACCAGGUCUUGACAUCCCUUGACAACUCCAGAGAUGGAGUGUUCCCUUCGGGGACAAGGUGACAGGUGGUGCAUGGUUGUCGUCAGCUCGUGUCGUGAGAUGUUGGGUUAAGUCCCGCAACGAGCGCAACCCUUAUUGUUAGUUGCCAGCAUUUAGUUGGGCACUCUAGCAAGACUGCCGGUGACAAACCGGAGGAAGGCGGGGAUGACGUCAAAUCAUCAUGCCCCUUAUGACCUGGGCUACACACGUGCUACAAUGGCGUAUACAACGAGUUGCCAACCCGCGAGGGUGAGCUAAUCUCUUAAAGUACGUCUCAGUUCGGAUUGUAGGCUGCAACUCGCCUACAUGAAGUCGGAAUCGCUAGUAAUCGCGGAUCAGCACGCCGCGGUGAAUACGUUCCCGGGUCUUGUACACACCGCCCGUCACACCAUGAGAGUUUGUAACACCCAAAGCCGGUGGGGUAACCUUUUAGGAGCCAACCGUCUAAGUGGACAGAGUUGGA
rnacentral:rRNA from 1 species